rnacentral:rRNA from 1 species
AGUGAACGCUGGCGGUAGGCCUAACACAUGCAAGUCGAACGGCAGCACAGUAAGAGCUUGCUCUUACGGGUGGCGAGUGGCGGACGGGUGAGGAAUACAUCGGAAUCUACUUUUUCGUGGGGGAUAACGUAGGGAAACUUACGCUAAUACCGCAUACGACCUACGGGUGAAAGCAGGGGAUCUUCGGACCUUGCGCGAUUGAAUGAGCCGAUGUCGGAUUAGCUAGUUGGCGGGGUAAAGGCCCACCAAGGCGACGAUCCGUAGCUGGUCUGAGAGGAUGAUCAGCCACACUGGAACUGAGACACGGUCCAGAAUCCUACGGGAGGCAGCAGUGGGGAAUAUUGGACAAUGGGCGCAGGCCUGAUCCAGCCAUACCGCGUGGGUGAAGAAGGCCUUCGGGUUGUAAAGCCCUUUUGUUGGGAAAGAAAAGCAGCAGGUUAAUACCCCGCUGUUCUGACGGUACCCAAAGAAUAAGCACCGGCUAACUUCGUG